UGCAGAGUAACGAGGCACAGCAUUGGCUACCUGUUAAGGGCUGUGCUUAUCCUGCUCUAUUACACUACCACUGGCUGCGUUCCAGUCACAUGGCCCUACCUCUAAGAAGAUUUGUGUCCCAGGUAUCUAUGCCUCCUAAUCGACUCGUGGAAGCCUGGGAGCGAGCAGAUUGGUUAGAAGUAGAGGAGCCAGAUUUCCUUCCUCGCCUGCCCCCUGACUGGCUGAGUUUCUCAGGGGCCUUGCCAGCCUUUCUUUACAUGGCACAACGAUGGCUACCGGACUAAUAAGCACUUUCAGACAAGCGACUAGUAAUUUCUCUACCAUCAGCUCUCACUUAUCACAGCCAGAUCACUUGACUUUCAAAUUAUCUCCAAAAGCCUCCCUCUUGAAUAUUUAUUGACAUAUCAACAACUCUUCUUAAUUAGUACUUUAUUGGAAUGAACAAGAUCUUUGUUUACUCUAGUCCAGCAGAACCAUGAAGAGUCAAAAACAACACCAUUCCCUCUCUGCAAAAGAUGUUGAGACGAACUUUGCCAGGAAGCUUUGUUAUGCUUCAGAUGGGCUCCUCAUUCACCCAGCUGGCAUUGAGUAGCAUAUAGGGCCAUUGCGUGUGCUCCUGGACUCUAGGCACAUGAAAAAAUUCCUUUGCUGACCUUAGGAAUCCUGAAUCUCCUAAAGGAGAUAGACAUGCAAAGAGUAACAUAAGAAAUGUAUCUCAUGGAAGACUCAGUGGAGAACAGGAGGAGGAUCUGUAUCAGCCUCAAUAGAAUCAGCGAUGGGACAGAGGAGGUGGUGCAUGAGCUGGGCCUUGAGGCACGGUUUGGGUGGCUGCAAGACUGGGGGAAUGCCUUGUGUCGUGGCACUGUAGUGUGACAGAGGAAAGAUCACUCCUUUGUUUCUAAAGUAAGCUUUCUGAAUGGCAAUGUAAUGUUUUUACUGCAGAGGACGGGUUACAGAAGCCCUCUGUCUAUGGUGGUUUCACUCUUGAAUGUAACAUGUGAAUCUUUAGAAUACCAGUGGCUCUUGCUUUCAUACUUUGAUGUUAAAUAAAUCAAAAUAAUUUAA